rnacentral:lncRNA from 1 species
GUCAUACUGAAUUUGACGUGUCAGCUGAACCGGCGGACUUAAAACGCCCUAUCUAGCACUUCGACUCCUUUCACCGCCGGGUUCUAAGCUGUGAGGCGUGCUCGAAGCUUUCCGCCGCGGCUACUCCAGUUAUGCACUCAACUUCUGCAAGCGCGGUUACCAGGCUAGCACGACCCAUUGGUGCUCCUGGAAUGCAUAUGCUACGCCCGGCGGCCAUUUCAUCCCUUCUCACGCAUGAGCUGUCACGCUUGACGCAAACGCUUCCGUUGUUGUCUUAAGUCGCGCCUGCAGUCAAGUUUUCUUUUGUUUGUGUGUGCCUGGAUAAUCAACUGACUGCGCCAAUCAACCGGAGGACAACGAAGCAACUGUCGUCGCCACGUGCCUCCCAGCUAACCUACAAGGUGAAUCCCGUGCAACCAAGUGACCAUGUCACUACUCCGGGGACAGCGCAACCAAGUGAUUGUGGCACUACUCCGAGGGACAACGGAGCAACCGUCUACGUUCGAUCUUCGGCAGUUAUAUUCACCAGGUGCGGUUCUAGCUUGCGAGGGUGGCGCGGCUAAUAAAUCAACUAAUUGGCAAUGUUUACUGUUUCAUACUGAUUGGCAAAAGAAGGCCGCUGCCACAUUGGGUCGUCGUCGUGACGGAAGCGGAGAGGACUGGGUGGGGCGAUUGUAGCUUUAGGCUUAGCUAACACUACGAAGGGUAGCUGCGCUGCGCAGGCUCCAGCUGGCAGGGGUCCUCUCUCGUUUGCGACACGGACGUCGGCCCAUUCCGAGUGCUAUUGCUUCCCGGUCAUAAAUUCGCGUGUCGGCGCGCGCAAAAUUCGCGUGUCGGCGCGCGCAAAAUGUGGAAGUAAAUUGCACCCGGAAUUAACUAGUGCCAGGUUUCUUCCAGCGAAACAGAAGAAGAACGGACGUUGCCUACGGUCUGCAGCGCGGCGCGCUGCGGCGAAGACGGUGGUGGGUGGACACAUUUCUUUUUUUGUCUUCCGUAUGUUCUCGUCCCUGUUGCUGUCACCACGCCGUGCUUUCGUCGCUCGAGAAGCCAACCAUCGUGGACUGGUCCCGUCGCCCACUCCAGCGCGAUGACGCUUGCUUUGGUGAGUACGUGCUUUCUGGUUACUUUCGUCAUUUAACAAGUGCUCCCCCUCCCCUUUUCAGAUCUGCAACCUGUGCCUUGGCCCCUGGCACCCGGUUCCUGCACCCGGCCGUGUCUCGUACAGAUGUCGUUCAGCACCCGUCUGUCGUCCAGCAGCUGAUCGUGUCUUCACUUCUGUUCCUGCUCACUGCUAUUGCGUCCUGCUGAAUGAAGAUGCGCCUGCAAUCCCCGCCCUGCAGAACGUCCACUGCACGCCGUGUCUCACACAGAUGACGUUCAGCACCCGUCUGUCGUCCAGCAGCUGAUCUUGUCUUCACUUCUGUUCCUGCUCACUGCUAUUGUGUCCUGCUGAAUGAAGAUGCGCCUGCAAUCCCCGCCCUGCAGAACGUCCACUGCACGCCGUGUCUCACACAGAUGACGUUCAGCACCCGUCUGUCGUCCAGCAGCUGAUCUUGUCUUCACUUCUGUUCCUGCCUCACUGCUAUUGCGUCCUGCUGAAUGAAGAUGCCUGCAAUCCCCGCCCUGCAGAACGUCCACUGCACGCCGUGUCUCACACAGAUGACGUUCAGCACCCGUCUGUCGUCCAGCAGCUGAUCUUGUCUUCACUUCUGUUCCUGCCUCACUGCUAUUGCGUCCUGCUGAAUGAAGAUGCCUGCAAUCCCCGCCCUGCAGAACGUCCACUGCACUCUGCAACCCAUCAAGGUCUGUCCCACCAGCGUAGUCGGCAAUGACACCAAGUGCAGACCGCAGGGCGUGCGUUGCUCUCGCCACUCAUCGCAUAGCUGCUCCCGAAGACGUCGUGUGCAGGAAAAGUUCGCUGCAUCGACGAGGCCACACAACUAUGAAGUCCCAAGAAACGGCACGACGUCGCGUGGCAUGAAGUUGUUCGUUCUACCCUAUAGCAGUGCGACGGCCACUCGAAGUCGCACGUUAUUCAAUGGCUGUGACCGUAUGAUGUGGGUACAGAAAAAUGCCAGGUAACAUGCUGUUCGAGCUCAUCGUAGUAGUACACUGCUCAGACUCUAUCUAGCAUUAUGUUGAUCUGGGGAUUCUUACUUCCUACGUUUAUUGACAUUCUGUGCUUUUGUAGUGGUACACUGAUGCUGGUUUGCGUUGCGGAAUUGUGUGUGUGUGUGUGUGCGUGCGCGCGCUUUCGUGUGUGUGUGUGUGCGCGCGCGCGCUUUCGUGUG